ACAUGCAGCCUAUCCACCUCAUCACAUGUGCCAUCUCAGGAAAGAAAAAUGUCCUUCCGUCUCAUCCGUGUUGUGUUUCCCUGACCAAAUCACACCAGGAUUAUCAAAACGCCAGGAUGAUCAAGUGGUACCGACCGGACCACAUUCAACAGCCCAUUACUUUAACCCACAUAUAGCCCAUUACAUUGUUCUUCCUUGCUGGCCCGUGCCGCCACCAACCAAUGAUGAUUCCCCUUCUAUGUGAUCUACUCGGUGGUGCGGCCUCUUCUUCUUCCCCACGAUCUCCUCAACAAAUAAUUGCCCAAGGAAAUGCUGGGGGAUACGAGAAGUUCGUGGUGAUCUUUUCCCCUUUAAAUUCCGUGCAAUGCCUCACGCCCCUCAAACGUCUUUGUUCGCAUACAUUUCAUACAGGCGCCGCUGGUGAUGAACCUUGCUGCAUCGAGCGGAGAGGCAGCAGCAAGCCGUGGAUGAAAACAACUUCGCAGCAUACGCAUAGGAAACAUUAUUUGGGCUAUCUUCAAGGGGAUUUUGGGGUUCAGCAAAUGGCGGAUUGCUGUGGGACGUGGGACGAGCAGUACUGUCCCACCAGAGCCCCUAAGAUUGCAUGUACAUCCUGUCUCCUGAUGUCCCUCGAAGAUCUCGACACCCUCACUGAACCAUUGUCCUAAGGCUGGAAGAACGCUUGAAGAAACAUGGUAUGACAACGAGUACUUGAUUGCAUAUUGCAACCUCCUCAAGUCCUCAUAUAACUAUGCAUGUUCAUGUCUUUCGAAUAGGCAAGACAACCAGUGCGCACUUCAGGCAACAUCGAGUGGAGUAACAAAGAGGAGAAGCCCCCGGCCAACCAUGCAUUUACCGGUUCACCAAUUUCAAUCUCAAUGUCCGAGGACCUGCUUACUUUGUAUUGUACAUUACCUCAACCAUUGGUUUUCCUAUUAGUCACACGAAAAAGCAGUUCAUGCUAUAUUAUAAUGAAAAUGAUGGAAUCCA